rnacentral:rRNA from 1 species
ACGGAAGGCAGCAGUGGGGAAUAUUGGGCAAUGGAGGCAACUCUGACCCAGCAACGCCGCGUGAAUGAAGAAGGCCUUCGGGUUGUAAAGUUCUUUAAUGGGGAACGAAGAAAGUGACGGUACCCCAAGAAUAAGCCACGGCUAACUACGUGCCAGCAGCCGCGGUAAUACGUAGGUGGCAAGCGUUGUCCGGAAUGACUGGGCGUAAAGGGAGCGUAGGCGGCGCAACAAGUUAGGAGUGAAAUCCCGGGGCUUAACUCCGGAACUGCUUUUAAAACUGUUGUGCUUGAGUGAUGGAGAGGAAAGCGGAAUUCCUAGUGUAGCGGUGGAAUGCGUAGAUAUUAGGAGGAACACCAGAGGCGAAGGCGGCUUUCUGGACAUUAACUGACGCUGAGGCUCGAAAGCGUGGGGAGCAAACAGGAUUAGAUACCCUGGUA